GGAUUGGAGGUCUAAUGGCUAAAGCUUCUGCUUCAUAAGCAGAAGGCCAUGGGUUGAAUCCCAGGCCCGUCCC
rnacentral:tRNA from 1 species